rnacentral:lncRNA from 10 species
UGCAGUUCACCUUGUCAGUAUAGCUACAGUGGCUAGACCAUGAGCUCUGGAGUUGGACAGCCUAGAUCAACAUCCUGGAUCCUCUUCCUACCUGUGUGUCCUUGGGUUCUCACAGACCACUGAGGGAGCAGCCUGUGGUAACUCCUGCCCGGCAUUACAAGUUCCAGUGAUCUAGAAGAAGGAAGUCUACCAUGGAGAUCAAGUCCACACAGGCCUUCCUAGACAGAAUUCAUACUCUAACCAUGGGGAAAUCUUGGAUGUUACUCCAAGCCACAGUUUCCUCAUUUGUAAAAUGGAGUUGCUGUUAUUUACCCUGGGAACUACUAUGUGUGAUCAAUCAGUUAGUGUACUGAAAGCAACAAGCAGAGGGCCUUGUCACAGGCUACCACAAAGUAAUUUUCUUUGUCUCCCUCUCUUCUUAACAAUAAGGCCUGAACCUUACUCUUUUCAUUCCCUAGAACACCUUGCAGUGAGCUUUGUAGUUAGGAAGUAGUCAAUGAAGAUGUACUGCAUUCAAUUUGUAUGAAUAGG